GAUGACGCUGGCGGCAGGCCUAACACAUGCAAGUCGAACGGUAGCAGGAAGAAGCUUGCUUCUUUGCUGACGAGUGGCGGACGGGUGAGUAAUGUCUGGGAAUCUGCCUGAUGGAGGGGGAUAACUACUGGAAACGGUAGCUAAUACCGCAUAACGUCGCAAGACCAAAGAGGGGGACCUUCGGGCCUCUUGCCAUCGGAUGUGCCCAGAUGGGAUUAGCUAGUUGGUGGGGUAACGGCUCACCUAGGCGACGAUCCCUAGCUGGUCUGAGAGGAUGACCAGCCACACUGGAACUGAGACACGGUCCAGACUCCUACGGGAGGCAGCAGUGGGGAAUAUUGCACAAUGGGCGCAAGCCUGAUGCACCCAUGCCGCGUGUAUGAAGAAGGCCUUCGGGUUGUAAAGUACUUUCAGCGGGGAGGAAGGGAGUAAGGUUAAUACCUUUGCUCAUUGACGUUACCCGCAGAAUAAGCACCGGCUAACUCCGUGCCAGCAGCCGCGGUAAUACGGAGGGUGCAAGCGUUACUCGGAAUUACUGGGCGUAAAGCGCACGCAGGCGGUUUGUUAAGUCAGAUGUGAAAUCCCCGGGGCUCAACCUGGGAACUGCAUCUGAUACUGCAAGCUUGAGUCUCGUAGAGGGGGGUAGAAUUCCAUGUGUAGCGGUGAAAUGCGUAGAGAUCUAGGAGGAAUACCGGUGCGAGGCGCCCCUGGACGACACUGACGCUCAUGUGCGAAGCGUGGAGCAACAGGAUUAAAUACCCUGGUAGUCCACGCCGUAACGAUGUCGACUUGGAUGUUGUGCCAUGUAGGCGUGCUUCGGAACUAACGCGUUAAUCAACGC
rnacentral:rRNA from 1 species